rnacentral:rRNA from 1 species
AACGCUAGCUACAGGCUUAACACAUGCAAGUCGAGGGGAAACGGCAUUGAGUGCUUGCACUCUUUGGACGUCGACCGGCGCACGGGUGAGUAACGCGUAUCCAACCUUCCCAUUACUGUGGGAUAACCUGCCGAAAGGCAGACUAAUACCGCAUAGUCUUCGAUGACGGCAUCAGAUUUGAAGUAAAGAUUUAUCGGUAAUGGAUGGGGAUGCGUCUGAUUAGCUUGUUGGCGGGGUAACGGCCCACCAAGGCGACGAUCAGUAGGGGUUCUGAGAGGAAGGUCCCCCACAUUGGAACUGAGACACGGUCCAAACUCCUACGGGAGGCAGCAGUGAGGAAUAUUGGUCAAUGGACGGAAGUCUGAACCAGCCAAGUAGCGUGCAGGAUGACGGCCCUAUGGGUUGUAAACUGCUUUUGUAUGGGGAUAAAGUUAGGGACGUGUCCCUAUUUGCAGGUACCAUACGAAUAAGGACCGGCUAAUUCCGUGCCAGCAGCCGCGGUAAUACGGAAGGUCCAGGCGUUAUCCGGAUUUAUUGGGUUUAAAGGGAGCGUAGGCUGGAGAUUAAGUGUGUUGUGAAAUGUAGACGCUCAACGUCUGACUUGCAGCGCAUACUGGUUUCCUUGAGUACGCACAACGUUGGCGGAAUUCGUCGUGUAGCGGUGAAAUGCUUAGAUAUGACGAAGAACUCCGAUUGCGAAGGCAGCUGACGGGAGCGCAACUGACGCUUAAGCUCGAAGGUGCGGGUAUCAAACAGGAUUAGAUACCCUGGUAGUCCGCACAGUAAACGAUGGAUGCCCGCUGUUGGUACCUGGUAUCAGCGGCUAAGCGAAAGCAUUAAGCAUCCCACCUGGGGAGUACGCCGGCAACGGUG